GUCGAACGGAUUAUUCUUUAUAGCUUGCUAUGAGAAUAAUUAGUGGCAGACGGGUGAGUAAUGCAUAGGAAUCUACCUAGUAGUAUAGGAUAGCCACUAGAAAUGGUGGGUAAUACUGUAUAAUCCCUGCGGGGGAAAGAUUUAUCGCUACAUGAUGAGCCUAUGUUAGAUUAGCUAGUUGGUGGGGUAAUGGCCUACCAAGGCAGUGAUCUGUAGCUGGUCUGAGAGGAUGAUCAGCCACACUGGAACUGAGACACGGUCCAGACUCCUACGGGAGGCGGCAGUGGGGAAUAUUGGACAAUGGGCGCAAGCCUGAUCCAGCUAUGCCGCGUGAGUGAGGAAGGCCUUAGGGUUGUAAAACUCUUUCAGUAGGGAAGAUAAUGACGGUACCUAUA
rnacentral:rRNA from 1 species